UUCUGACCUCGAAUCAGGUGGGACUACCCGCUGAACUUAAGCAUAUCAAUAAGCGGAGGAAAAGAAACUAACAAGGAUUCCCUUAGUAACUGCGAGUGAAGUGGGAUGAGCUCAAAUUUAAAAUCUGGUAGUCUCUGGCUGCCCGAGUUGUAAUCUAGAGAAGUGUUUUCUGUGCUGGACUGUGUUUAAGUUUCCUGGAUAUGGAACAUCAUAGAGGGUGAGAAUCCCGUCUU
rnacentral:rRNA from 1 species